UACGGGGGGGGCAAGCGUUGUUCGGAAUUACUGGGCGUAAAGGGCUCGUAGGCGGCCAACUAAGUCGGACGUGAAAUCCCUCGGCUUAACCGGGGAACUGCGUCCGAUACUGGAUGGCUUGAGUGUGGGAGAGGGAUGCGGAAUUCCAGGUGUAGCGGUGAAAUGCGUAGAUAUCUGGAGGAACACCGGUGGCGAAGGCGGCAUCCUGGACCAUGACUGACGCUGAGUGAGCGAAAGCCAGGGGAGCAAACGGG
rnacentral:rRNA from 1 species